rnacentral:lncRNA from 1 species
GCUAUACCCUCCAUAUAAGAGACUGAAGAAGAAGAAGAAGAAGAUAGUGUUAUUCUCGCUUCUUUGAGAUUGCACUUUGUCCUUUACGUACCAUGUUUGAAUUCCUUCCUCUACUCGCGUCGAUUGAGUCAAUCACAAACUGUCUACACUGUAACACCCAAGAAACGUCUUUUCACUUUUGGCUAGAAUGUGCACAAUUUGCCCUCCAACGAAGCCGUUUGGGCACUAAGAUAGGCAUCGACAUUUCAACGAUUACGAACCUAGAGUCUUUAUAUUGGUCACAAAACACUGAAAAAAUCAGUAAAUAUAUACAACCCUUGGAACAAUAUAUUCAAACUACACAUCGACUGUGAACAUUAAAUAAUAUCUCGGAGGAUAAAGCGGUGGCUAUACCCUCCAUAUAAAAAUGAUGAUGAUGAUAGUGUUAUUCACGUAUACAGCUGUAGUGAAGCUCUGUCUCCUCGUUUGUUGAAAUCCGUUAGAUGACAUUCAAAGCAGGUUACAAGUUAAGUGUUGUAACGCAAUGUUAACUCGUUUCGCCGAAUAGCUUG